AUUGAACGCUGGCGGCAUGCUUUACACAUGCAAGUCGAACGGUAACAGGGUGCUUGCACCGCUGACGAGUGGCGAACGGGUGAGUAAUGCGUCGGAACGUGCCGAGUAGUGGGGGAUAACGCAUCGAAAGGUGUGCUAAUACCGCAUACGUACUGAGGUAGAAAGUGGGGGACCUUCGGGCCUCACGCUAUUCGAGCGGCCGACGUCUGAUUAGCUAGUUGGUGAGGUAAAGGCUCACCAAGGCGACGAUCAGUAGCGGGUCUGAGAGGAUGAGCCGCCACACUGGGACUGAGACACGGCCCAGACUCCUACGGGAGGCAGCAGUGGGGAAUUUUGGACAAUGGGCGCAAGCCUGAUCCAGCCAUGCCGCGUGUCUGAAGAAGGCCUUCGGGUUGUAAAGGACUUUUGUCCGGGAGCAAAUACCCAGUGCUAAUAACGCUGGGGGCUGAGAGUACCGGAAGAAUAAGCACGGGCUAACUACGUGCCAGCCACCGCCGUAAUAC
rnacentral:rRNA from 1 species